AGCCCACAGCCUCUACGUCUUCGGUGAAUAGGCAAAGGGCGGCCUCAGCCCUGGAGCUGCGGCUGCAGCGACGGAUGCUCGAGAUCGUGCUGGAGUAGUGCGGUGAUCCGGACGAUGAUGAGGAGUGGGAGGACGGGAAUCCGGGCUAGGCGCGGACGGCUGGGCGGCAACAUCAGCGACGAGGAGGGGCCACCCCCGGCGCCGGAGAUGGAUCCGUCGGACGCCAAAAACGAGAUGGACAGGAAAAUGUGACCUUUUCAAUGGAGAAUGGCUACCAAAUCCCUCUGGCCCAGUCAAGCUGUCGUUUUAAUAAAGAUAACCAGAACUGCAUGAGAAUGGUAGACCGGACACCGGAUAUCUUCACUAGAAACCUAGUAAGCGUGAUCUACCCCAUUUGAUGAAGUUAGAUUUCUAGCUGCUAUGAGGAGCAAAGCAUGGGAUUAAUCAGUAACUUCAUUCUUCGUAGCCAAGUUCAGUCAUUGAUUUGCAUUAUGUCUAAGGAAAAUAAUACAUCAUUACGUGACUCCUCCUUUAAAUUCUCCUUUUCUCAUACUAGAGUGUUGUUGUUAAUGCUCACCUUGAAGCACCAUGUCUGUAUCUGCAUUUACUUA